rnacentral:antisense_RNA from 1 species
UGAGUAGGGGGCCUGCAGUGUGCUGUGAUGCCUGGGAAGGGGAUUCUAAGCCAUUUCCCAUCAGCCAUUUACUAAGUAGCCUGGGGAUCUUGUUAAAAUGCAGAUCCUGAUAGAUUAGGGCUGGGGUGCUGCCCAAGAUUCUACAUUUCUAAGAGUCCCUGGAUGACGGUGGCAUUCACAGACCACAGCUUCUAUGUGAGGGAGAGCAGUUGGGUUUCUGUCUGCCUGCCGCACCUGAUCAGUGGUUGGUGCCUGAAUGUGUGGCAGCCAGAAUUUUACUUGGGGAGACGCUCGGCUCCUAGCACCCUCUGUGGUAGGGGUUUUCCAGAGUGUGGGCAUUACCCCAACUGUCUCUGCAGACGGCUUCCUGCAUGUUUCCCACAAGUGCUCUGAUGGCUGAAUUGGCAAGUCUGUGGUGCUGCUCUUUGGGGCCACCUCGUUCUUUGCCUUUCCCUCCCCUUAGCGAUGUGUCCCAUCCGUUGCCCACAGUCAAGUCAGUCCACACGUUUAGGCUAAGGUGGGCGUGACCGAGUGGCCUUCCCCCGGGAAGACCAGUGUCGUAACUGGAAUUAAGUUGUGGAACAUAAGAGUCAAGGCUCAUGUCUGCUGUGAGCUGGAGUUGAGGGAAUGUUUGGGGAUCCCACCUGGUAUCAGUAAGGGAACCAUGGCGACGGCUAGCCUUGCCCACAUGAGGCAUCUGCUUUGUCAGGCCUUCUCAGUAGUGGAGAAGGGAGGAAGGAGAAUGCAGCUCUUUCAGCGCUGUCUAGCAGUGCCCAAGAGCCGUGAUUGGGCACCUCACUUAACGUCUAACUUCAAAUUCACUCUUGGGCAUUCCUGUCUUCCUCUCCAAUCUUGAAUGGAUGUUGGCUCCGAUAAUGUCAUCCUGAAGUUUCUUUGUCCACACAGCCCUGGCUGGUUGUUAAUAAGCUGUUAAUGCAGCCUUGCACUCAGGAAGCCCUGAUGUUUAAAGGAACUGUGUCUUUGUUCUUCCUCUCUUCCCUCUUUCCCUUAGUCCCACUUUAUCUCUUCUUUCUCUUCCUCUCCCUCCUCCCUUUCCCCUCUCCCUCCUCCUCUUCCCCUUUCCCUCCUGCUCUCCCCCUUUCUGUCCUCCUCCUCUCCCCCUUUUUCUCCUCCUCCUCUAAGAAACCCAGUCUUAAUUCCACACAAUGCAUGCACAUGCACUAGCUUCUCUGCUUGAGUGAGCUGGUGUGAUUAGGUUUUCUAAACAUGCACACUGGCCUUGCUACUUGUCCUUUUAUUCCCUUCCCACAGAUCAUAAACCAAGAAUUAUUUUUAUUUGUAUUAUUUUGAUUUUUUUAAAGUGAAAUGUUAACUUUUCCUCUUUGAAAUAAAUUCCCAUUUGGAACAUC